ensembl:lncRNA
GCCUCCUGAGUGCUGAGUUACAGACAGACAGAGACCAACAAGAAGCCAAAAGCUCUGCAAAAAAAGGGGCCCCUCAUCUUCAGCCUCUUGCCAUCCCCCUUGCAUGAAUGAAUCUUGUCCAAGAACUGGGAGAAACUUCAGAGGGGAAGCUCGCAUGUUGUUGGAGUUCAUCUAAAAACAACCAAACAAUCAAAAAUACUGCAAGCGGGGGAUUCCCCAUCCAUGGGAAAAAGAAUAUUAAAGUUCACUUCAACUGUGGGCCAAAGACAGGAUUUAAGCACCUGGUUAUUCUUUUAUUCACUCCCUUAUGAAUCAUGAUGUGAUAGCCAACCUGUCUCCAUUUUGUGCCUCAUCACCAUUCCCCCUCCCCCCUUGGGAGUCCUCUCUGUUGAUGCUUGACAGACCACUGCACCCCAUUUGGUAGAGCAGUCUGCAGCUAUAUGUUAUCUUUAUGACCUUGUGAAGAGAAUACUCUGCACCUAUGUGAUAUUUUGUUUCAACUAAAUUCUGUGAAACUUCCCCUGACCCUCACUAAUUUAGCAAAGCUCUGCUUCUGUAAAAUUCUGCUUGUGUUCCCCCUCUCCCAGAGCCGUCCCCAACUAGAAGAGCCACUAAAAAAGAAACCUGCAAGCUGCUUUUCGGGGUCAAGAGAUUCUGAGUGCUAGCUCCUCUCAACCGCCAGCAAUAAAGGACUCAAAUUUGGCUCAGAGUGUUGGUGAUUCCCUAUAAUCUCUCUUGAUUGAAUAUAACAAUGACACUG